AACCAACAGGGAUUGCCUUAGUAGCGGGGAGUGAAGCGGCAAAAGCUCAAAUUUGAAAUCUGGCACUUUCAGUGUCCGAGUUGUAAUUUGAAGAAGGUAUCUUUGGGUCUGGCUCUUGUCUAUGUUUCUUGGAACAGAACGUCACAGAGGGUGAGAAUCCCGUGCGAUGAGAUGUCCCAGACCUAUGUAAAGUUCCUUCGAAGAGUCGAGUUGUUUGGGAAUGCAGCUCUAAGUGGGUGGUAAAUUCCAUCUAAAGCUAAAUAUUGGCGAGAGACCGAUAGCGAACAAGUACAGUGAUGGAAAGAUGAAAAGAACUUUGAAAAGAGAGUGAAAAAGUACGUGAAAUUGUUGAAAGGGAAGGGCUUGAGAUCAGACUUGGUAUUUUGUAUGUUACUCUCUCGGGGGUGGCCUCUACAGUUUACCGGGCCAGCAUCAGUUUGAGCGGUAGGAUAAGUGCAAAGAAAUGUGGCACUGCUUCGGUAGUGUGUUAUAGUCUUUGUCGAUACUGCCAGCUUAGACUGAGGACUGCGGCUUCGGCCUAGGAUGUUGGCAUAAUGAUCUUAAGUCGCCC
rnacentral:rRNA from 1 species